AUUGAACGCUGGCGGCAGGCCUAACACAUGCAAGUCGAGCGGAUGAAGGGAGCUUGCUUCUGGAUUCAGCGGCGGACGGGUGAGUAAUGCCUAGGAAUCUGCCUGGUAGUGGGGGGCAACGUUUCGAAAGGAACGCUAAUACCGCAUACGUCCUACGGGAGAAAGCAGGGGACCUUCGGGCCUUGCGCUAUCAGAUGAGCCUAGGUAGGAUUAGCUAGUUGGUGAGGUAAUGGCUCACCAAGGCGACGAUCCGUAACUGGUCUGAGAGGAUGAUCAGUCACACUGGAACUGAGACACGGUCCAGACUCCUACGGGAGGCAGCAGUGGGGAAUAUUGGACAAUGGGCGAAAGCCUGAUCCAGCCAUGCCGCGUGUGUGAAGAAGGUCUUCGGAUUGUAAAGCACUUUAAGUUGGGAGGAAGGGUUGUAGAUUAAUACUCUGCAAUUUUGACGUUACCGACAGAAUAAGCACCGGCUAACUCUGUGCCAGCCGCCGCCGUAACAC
rnacentral:rRNA from 1 species